rnacentral:rRNA from 1 species
UACGGGGGGGGCAAGCGUUGUUCGGAAUUACUGGGCGUAAAGGGCUCGUAGGCGGCCAACUAAGUCAGACGUGAAAUCCCCAGGCUCAACCUGGGAACUGCGUCUGAUACUGGAUGGCUUGAAUUCGGGAGAGGGAUGCAGAAUUCCAGGUGUAGCGGUGAAAUGCGUAGAUAUCUGGAGGAACACCGGUGGCGAAAGCGGCUCACUGGACCCAAUCUGACACUGAGGUGCGAAAGCUAGGGUAGCAAACGGG